AGGACAGUGGAUCGGAAGACAACGCUGCAUUCCCCGGCUGCGCGAGAGAGGGAGUCGGUGAGGGAGAUUGGCGUGGUUGUCGAUAUAUGUGAAGAUUGUAGCCGGAGGAUCGUCAAUGUCUUGAUCCAAGACAAGCAAGGGUCGGAUCGAGCGAUGUAGUAGCUCUCGGCGAACCUGCUCGAGGAUGGGCGAAUGCAUUCGGGGAAGAUUCAACACUGCUUGUGGUUCUGAGCCUUAGGGCUUGAAUCGAAGAGGCCCGUCUUAUGGCUCUUGCCAGGAAGCACCAACAGGAAAAGAUGAUCUGUAGAAAUAUGCUUGCUACGCCCUUCCUCCUUUUUUUAAUGAUAAAAUGCCGUUUAAUUAAAUUUCACAUAGCUAUUAUCAGGCGUUUAUCAAUUUUACCGUUUAUCACUUUGAUUCCCGUUGCUUGUUGUGACUUGGAGUUGGGAAUUGUUCAUUGUGUUGAAGUAGAGUUUGGUGUAUAUGGAACUAUGGGUUAAUUCAUCCAUACUUUUACUGUGUUGAAGAGAUUGCCAUGGGUCCAAAAAGAGUGAGUCUCCUGUACUCCAUAAGCUGCCUUGCGUUGAUUGGCUGCUGAUUCCUUGGGUGAAACAUGUACUUAGAUUACUGUUUAACAAUAAAAAUAUGAUACUUGGAUUCUAUAUAACCAUGCAUUUUAAAAUAGUGACUGCAAUUGUUGCUAGGAAUUAACGCUUGAAAUGUGUGCAUUGAAUUUGAAGUAAGGUCAGUGUGCAUAUGGAACUCUGGGUUAAUUCCUCAGUCCAGGUUGCCAUAGAUCCACAAAUUAAAUCUCCUGUACUCCAUUAGUUGCCUUGUUUUAAUAGGUUGCUUAUUUAAGUCUCCUGUACUCCAUUAGCUGCCUUAUUUCUAUGAAUUUUUUUUUGUGACUUGAUAGCUGGGGUUUGUUCAUUCUGUGUUGAAGUAUAAUUAGAUGUGUAUGGAACUGUGUGUUAAUCCCUCCAUGCUUUUACUGUGUUAAAGAGGCUGACAUGGUUCCAAAGAGUGAGUCUCCUUUACUCCAUCAGCUGCCUUGUAUUGCUUGGCUGCUGAUUUUCGUAGGUGAAACAUGUACCUAGUUUUCUAUUUAACAAUGGAAAUAUGAACUUGAAUUCCAUAUAACCAUCCAUUUUUAACGUGAUCACAAUAGUUGCUGACAAUUAAUGCUUGAAAUUUGUAAAUUGAAUUUGAAGUAAAGUCAUUGUGCAUAUGGAACUAUGGGUUAAUUCCUCCAGGCUCUUACUGUGUCGAAGAGGUUGCUAUAGAUCCAUAAAUUGAAUCUCCUGUACUCCAUUAGCUGCCUUGUAUUAAUAGGUUGCUGAUUUCCAUGGGUGAAACAUGUUCUUAGUUACCAUUUAGCAUUGAAAAUAUGAUACCUAAUUGAAUGUAAUAUAACCUUGUGACUUAGUAAAGUUGGUUGUAUACGGAACUUUGCUAACUCUGCUAUAAUCCUCCAUACACCAUACUCCAUACUCAUGGCCAUUAUCAGUCGGGUUGUUCAUUCAUUGCCCGUUUAUUUCUUUGAUAUUUUUGUGACAUAGAUAGCUGCGGUCUGUUCAUUCCAUGUUGAAG